UUGAGUAUUAGGCCGGCGACACACUGGAUGCGCGGUGCAAGCGUCUCAGCUGCGUGGCUGUUUUUAAUUUGGCUCAACAGGUUAGAGCCGCGCGGACAACGUGUGCAUGCAAGAGAGUUUGUUGUCAUGUGCAUCCUCUCCACCUAUAAAAUCCCCCUGAAGCUCAGACGGCACAACAUCAGCAGAGAUCUGUCGUGAUGAAUGUUUCUUCUCUUCAGCUCAACACAAGGGUUCUUCAUAACCAGUGUGUUGGUUCUUGAAACACAUCUUCAGAUGCACCUGAACACAUCAUCAGUGAUGUUACCGGAGGUCCUCGGGUGUUUCGGGUCUUUCUUCAUCAGACACCCUCGCCCAGGUGACCCAGACUGUGACUUGUGUUCAGGAAGCACUCGCUUGCCCCCAUGGUGCUCCUCUACGGAUCCAGAGCCAUCUCGAGGCUUUCUCGGCUGCGUCUGUGAUGUUCUUGGUGGCACUGCACUGGUCCAGGCCCCCUUCUACUCAUCCUUCCUUCCUCCACGACACCUCUGACCUCUUCCUGUAUUCGGCUGCGUUUCUCCUUCCAUUCAAUUCUUUAUGUCGAGGAGGUGUUGCUCUGCUCCCACAAGCUCUUUGUGCCGCAGACGUGUCUGUUCAUCCAGCCUCCAGCGCUCCACUUUCUCCCUGUCUUCACCAGCUCUCCUGCCUGGGACACCUCUGGGUCGUUGGAGUCUCUAUACAUCAGCACCUCGUGUGCCCGAGUCACUUUAAACUCCUCUCCCAGGGAUUUUAGAGGCAGCCGGAGCAUUAUGGUGUUUUCAUAGAGGGCAAUGUUGCUGAGGCUCCUGGGAACCUAACCGUCUCCUGAGAAAGCUGCUGACCUUUCUUUCCAAGCUCUCCACUGUAGAAAUGGGAACCUCAUACACACGUAGUUGAAUAUACUCUGCAUUAGUUGGACACCCAGCAGAAAGAUGGAAAUUGAGUAAACACGUGGAGACUGAAAAGAGAUGAAGACAAAAAGCAGUGGAAACAUGGAGAUUGUGAAGAUCAUCAGAUGGAGCAGCUUCAGUGAUUUAAGACCAGACUUCUCUGAUCCACACACACAUGUGAAGAGCUGCUCUCAUCAAACACAGAAGAUCAGACAUGAUGAUGCAAGAACAUUAAAGUCUCUUCUGGACUCUCCAGCUCCUGCAGCAUUCUUCUCUUUAUUAUUUUAUGAAGCAUAUAUUGUACUUGUUUUCUGCAAUUCAGUAUAUAUAUUGCACUGCAUUGCAUUCAAGGAAAGUUUAACACUUCUGAACACUUUUCAAACAAAUAUGAAUAAAGUCCUUGUGUUUUCUUUCUCUCUCUUUAAGAUCAAAGUUCAGAUAUAAUAUAUGAAAAUGUGUUUUUAUUGAGUCACGUAUGAUCCCUCUCUGUCUCAAAUACAUAUUUAGCAGCUAGUGUGACAGUCAUCUCAUUCUCUCCAAGUAUAUAGAGUAGUUUCUCUGAGUCGUUUAGAGACAAGAAUGAAGGAUUCAAAGCGUUUCUCUUGUAGUGCUGUAUUUGGGACAGACCAGAAGGAAGUGUUUCUCAUCCUCUGUUUGAUUCAGCUCACAGUGUUUGCACAGUCUCUCUUCUCUCGGUAGACAGGAUCUUUUAUAUCUACCAAUCUCUAUCUCCAAAUCAUGAUAACUGAGUCUAUAUUUGGGAAGGAUUUGUCUUUCUUUUAAUUGCUUGAGUGAUAAGUAGUUUGCCAGUUUUGUGGUUCUGUUUAGCGCAGAAUAACACUGGAGUUUGGUUUGGAGCUCAAAUUCAUUUUUUAAUUUUUCUUCAUAAUUAUACUUGAGAUUUGUGUCAGUUUCUGAAUGUUGGGUUUGUGAUUGGAGUCAGACUCAGUUUGGGUGUCCUUCAUCAGUUCUGAAAUAUCAUAAUCUUAGUUUUUGGGAUGUUGAUGUCUAAGGCCCAAUCCUGGCAGUAUUUAGUUAAAAUGUCGAGGUUGUUCUGAAGACCUUCUGGUGUUUUAGACAGAAUUAGUAAGUAUUUGACCUCUGUGUGGUGUAAUUGUAGUCCUGGACUGUUCGACUGGUCCAGUAGAUCUGCCAGUUCAUUGAUAUAUAGAUAUAUGUUAAAUAAAGUCUCACUCCUCGCUGUUGAGGAAAAUAGUCUGUCCAUUGCUGGCCAAUUUUUACUGCACAUUUAUUUUGGUUAUACAUGUUUUUAAUUAAGUCAUAUAUUUUACCCCCUAUGCCACUUUCAAUGAUUUUAUAAAACAGUCCAUUAUGCCAGAUGGAGUCAAAAGCCUUCUUAAAAUCUGCAAAUAUUUUCCCAUCUUUCUUCUGGUGUACAUUUCCUUUUUUUUAGCGUGUGUAGUGUGUGAAUAUGUUUGGUUUUGAUUAAUUUCUUCUUGUAAAGUGUGGAAUACUUCAUCGUCGUAGUAUGGGGAAUCUGAUGGAGGAAUAUAAAUUCCACAGAUAAAAAGGUCUUUAUAUAGAAUUUCAAAGCUUUUAUCCAAUUAUAACCAGAUGUGAUUUUUGCCUUUCUGUAAUUUUUUAUUCAUAUGACUAAACCUCCAGAAUCUCUACCACGGUGUACUGAGCUGAGUUUCCACGAGGGCACUAUGAUUUCAGAGUAACGUGAAGGACACUGAUCGGACACAUCGGAUCUACACAUCACUCUCUCUCAUAUGCAGGGAUCUAAUGUCUCUGGAUAAGAUCAGACAUGAGCUGCUCAUGUCAGGCAACACAAAUGCUGUCGAAACCCUUUUGAUCUGACUAACACAAGGGGAAAAUGAGAAUGAGAGAACUAGACAGUUGAGUUUGUGAUUCAGUGAAGUAUCAGUUUUACAGCAGAGAUUAUCACAUGACCAUCUAUAUCAUAUCAGAAUUUAGAAGAGGUUUAUUUAAAUGAAAACUGUACAUUGAGUGAUAAAUACUAUAUUUUGAUCAGCUUCAAGAUACUAAAAAGAUGAUGCAUCUGAGAGUUUUGUGACCUCACUUUAAUUUAAAGCUCAUUUUAAUAUGUUUUUCUACAACAAUAACUAUAUCACUACCAUUCCAAUCAUGUGAUUAUUUGUGGUUAGUUGUUUACAGUAAGGCUGUAACUGUUCAUCUGGUUAUGGAACCAAACAGACUAAUGACUAAUGAUUUGUUA